rnacentral:rRNA from 1 species
GAUGAACGCUGGCGGCGUGCCUAACACAUGCAAGUCGAGCGAACCCUUCGGGGUGAGCGGCGGACGGGUGAGUAACGCGUGGGUAACCUGCCCUAUACACACGGAUAACGUACCGAAAGGUACGCUAAUACGGGAUAAAGUUGUUGGAUGGCAUCUUCUAACAAUCAAAGCUCUGGCGGUAUAGGAUGGACCCGCGUCUGAUUAGCUAGUUGGUGAGGUAAUGGCUCACCAAGGCGACGAUCAGUAGCGGACCUGAGAGGGUGAUCGGCCACACUGGGACUGAGACACGGUCCAGACUCCUACGGGAGGCAGCAGUGGGGAAUAUUGCACAAUGGGCGAAAGCCUGAUGCAGCAACGCCGCGUGAGCGAUGAAGGUCUUCGGAUCGUAAAGCUCUGUCCUCAAGGAAGAUAAUGACGGUACUUGAGGAGGAGGCCCCGGCUAACUACGUGCCAGCCGCCGCGGUAA